rnacentral:rRNA from 1 species
GACGAACGCUGGCGGCGUGCUUAACACAUGCAAGUCGAACGGAAAGGCCUGCUUUCCCUUGUGGAUUGCGGGUACUCGAGUGGCGAACGGGUGAGUAACACGUGAGUGAUCUGCCCCCAACUUGGGUAUAAGCCUGGGAAACUGGGUCUAAUUCCCGAUAGGACUGCAGGGUGGUGCCUUUGGUGGAAAACGAUUUUCUAGUGGUUGGGGAUGAGCUCGCGGCCUAUCAGCUUGUUGGUGGGGUAAUGGCCUACCAAGGCGGCGACGGGUAGCCGGCCUGAGAGGGUGGACGGCCACAUUGGGACUGAGAUACGGCCCAGACUCCUACGGGAGGCAGCAGUGGGGAAUAGUGCACAAUGGGCGGAAGCCUGAUGCAGCGACGCCGCGUGGGGGAUGACGGCCUUCGGGUUGUAAACUCCUUUCGACCGCGAGGAAGCCACCUGGUUGGAAGGGUGGUGACGGUAGUGGUAGAAGAAGCACCGGCUAACUACGUG